rnacentral:rRNA from 1 species
AACGAACGCUGGCGGCAGGCUUAACACAUGCAAGUCGAGCGCCCCGCAAGGGGAGCGGCAGACGGGUGAGUAACGCGUGGGAAUCUACCGUGCCCUACGGAAUAGCUCCGGGAAACUGGAAUUAAUACCGUAUACGCCCUACGGGGGAAAGAUUUAUCGGGGUAUGAUGAGCCCGCGUUGGAUUAGCUAGUUGGUGGGGUAAAGGCCUACCAAGGCGACGAUCCAUAGCUGGUCUGAGAGGAUGAUCAGCCACAUUGGGACUGAGACACGGCCCAAACUCCUACGGGAGGCAGCAGUGGGGAAUAUUGGACAAUGGGCGCAAGCCUGAUCCAGCCAUGCCGCGUGAGUGAUGAAGGUCUUAGGAUUGUAAAGCUCUUUCACCGGUGAAGAUAAUGACGGUAACCGGAGAAGAAGCCCCGGCUAACUUCGUGCCAGCAGCCGCCGCGG